UAAAUAGCGGUGACAACAAUAGCAAUUAGGAUUUAGGACCUACUUGCGGUGGCUUCCAUUCAUAGAGAGAUCACAGAUUUCAGAUUAGAGAAAAACAAAUGCAGCUUUUGUGCCUCAUAGGUUGGCUCCAAUAAUUGCUCGUCUAAAGACUAGAUGGACUUAAAAAGGUGAUUGUUUCAUGGAAAGGACUUAACGUCAUAGGUAGAAGACUUCAGAUCCUACUGGUUAAUGAGAUAAGUAUUUGCAACAUAUACUACAAGCUUUUGUAGCAUACAAUUAUUCUCACAUUUUUUUUUGUGGAUUUAUUCUUCGCUAACGUUAACUUGAAACUAUAAUGUCUUUCAUGGGCAUGAAACCAUUUUUUGGACUAUGGCAGUUAUUCACUUCUUUACAGCCCCAUUUGGCAGGGUCCGAAGAGUGUAGAUGCAUCAACUUUCACCAUCAAUCUGUUAAAUUCAGAAUACUGCUAAUCUGCUAUCAGUAAAUUGAAGUUGAUAACUUGAUAUUAUUUGUUACUAAGAUAUAGUUUUUCAUUUUCUUUUUAUCUGAAAAAAAGAGCUGAUAUUUGAGAUUACCAUUUAAUCACACUGAAGAGUUUUAUUUUUAAUUCUUUCCUUAUUGAGAAAAUGCAACUUUCCUGAAAUUUCUGGUUGCGGUAUCAAUCUCAUGCCUCUUUAUUUUGGCAAUAACAGUCUUUUGUCCCUUCUUGUUUGGAUUUUUUGUUUCCUAUUUUCAGUUAAUAUUCUGGACGUUUCAGUUCAACUUAAGGUUUCAAGAAAACUGUCAGUGUUAACUGUUAUGCCGUUAUGGUGAUAAGUCUUGAGUAUCAUUUAUCUGAUCUCAAUCAAUUGACACUCACUUAUUGUAGUUAUCAUUCAUAUCAGUAACUUUCCUUUUAAGGGAUGCUGUAAUAAUAUAUACGAAAUCCAUUGUAGGAUUGCAUCUUUCUCUUCUUGGAUAAGUGGGGUUAUGAAAGCCAAAUAUCUGGUUGCAUCAUCAUUCAUUCAUUCAUCAAAGAGUGCGUAGCUAACUGGAAAACUAACAUGUCAGCAUCACUUCUGGAUAUUCUGAUUGUUGAAUCAUUUACUAAUCAUUUUCUCAUUCGAUACGCAAUCCUGUUUUUGAUUAUUCUCUAGAGAUAAAGUGAUACAUUGACAGUUAUUUUGAAUCAGAGGGAGCAGUAAUUACUUAUAGUCAUUCGGUGUAUAUAUUUUUUUCUAACUGUACUUAGGUUAAAAUGUUUUGACUUUUGAUCAUUCCAUACUUGUCUUCCACUGAAUUUUCAGAUUGGAGUUAAUUUGAAUUACCUGAAGGAUGUUGGAGAAUUUAAACUGCAUGUGUAAAAAGAGCAUUUCUUUGGUGAAGAAAGGGCUAAAGUGGCAUCAGCAUUACAUGAAAGGAGUGGCAAGGGUGACACAAAUAGAAAGAAUGAUGAUCCUAGAGUCUGUGGACACAGUAACAGUGAUGUUGAUGGUGCCAUGUGAGUGCUUUGUUGUACAAUUGUUUUUAUUUGUAAUGAAAUUGAAAGAACACUGUUGUAUAUAAUAUCAUAUGGUGAUAGAAUGUGUUUCAAUUCAUUUGCAUUUUUUUUUUCUUUUUCUUUUUUCAAAAUCUUGUCAUCUUUGUCUUAAUGCUAUCACCCCUGAGUAACAUUAUUGAUGAGUUGACAAAACGUGCUUCCAAGAUAUUACUUUAGCUUGGUAAUAACAAAGCAAGGUUCCUUUUUGCCUUGUUGUAUGUAAUGUUAUGAAAUCAAUUGCAGCAUAUAGAUUGUGUUAGGAUAUAAAACUAUUAAUGUGUUAUAUAUCCCAGCAUA